rnacentral:rRNA from 1 species
GAUGAACGCUGGCGGCGUGCCUAAUACAUGCAAGUAGAGCGAACGGACGAGAAGCUUGCUUUUCUGAUGUUAGCGGCGGACGGGUGAGUAACACGUGGAUAACCUACCUAUAAGACUGGGAUAACUUCGGGAAACCGGAGCUAAUACCGGAUAAUAUUUUGAACCGCAUGGUUCAAAAGUGAAAGACGGUCUUGCUGUCACUUAUAGAUGGAUCCGCGCUGCAUUAGCUAGUUGGUAAGGUAACGGCUUACCAAGGCAACGAUGCAUAGCCGACCUGAGAGGGUGAUCGGCCACACUGGAACUGAGACACGGUCCAGACUCCUACGGGAGGCAGCAGUAGGGAAUCUUCCGCAAUGGGCGAAAGCCUGACGGAGCAACGCCGCGUGAGUGAUGAAGGUCUUCGGAUCGUAAAACUCUGUUAUUAGGGAAGAACAUAUGUGUAAGUAACUGUGCACAUCUUGACGGUACCUAAUCAGAAAGCCACGGCUAACUACGUG